UUGAUAAUGUCUGGAAUGGAGUAAAUGGAAUCUAUCAAACACGUUGAUACCAUUCAAUUGACUCCAUUCCAGCCAUUAUUAUGAGUCGUCCUUCCCUCAGCAGCCUCCUCUGAUAUAUGUUGAGGUGUCUAGCUAUAAGUUAAACCUGAUCAAUCAAUCACUAGACAGCCACAGAGAGAGGGGGGGGGGAUUGAGAAAGGAUGAAAGAGAGAGGUGGGAAGAGGGUGGAAGACAGGCAGGGAGAGAGAAACAGAGAGGGAAAGACAGCAGUGUAAAUGUACUUAGACUUGAGUAUUUCAGCAUCUCUUCCAACUUGUUAGGUAAUCAUAUCUACCUACGGGGGAAGGAUGGCCAGCCACACAGGAGGGUGAUUUUUGUUAAGGAGGAGAAGGAGGCCGUGCUGACUGUGAUGCUUGCUGGCCAAUUCGGAGUGAAGCGCCUGAUUGCCAAAAUCAACCUACGCUUCUUCUGACAGGGAAUUGUCAAGGAGGUGGACAGCUGGGUCAGUACCUGUCCAGCCUUCCAGAAGUUUGAGAGGGCGAAGACUGUGGCGCCGGAGUUGAAGCACGUCAAAGUUGUUUUACCAUGGCACAUGAUCGGUGAGACUGAACAUGGACAAGGCGCAGGAGAAACAGAAGGAGAGCUACCGGAGCAGAGUCAAGAAGGGGACCAAGUGCUACGACAUCCGGGCAAAUGACUUGGUUUGGAAGAAGAACGAAAGGAAGGCAGAGACCUUGAAAACCUCGCUGCUCCUAGCUGUGGUCACGAUCUGUUAAAGGUUACCUAGGGUUACCUAAGGUUACCUAGGAAGCUAACCAUCUUCUGCAGUUGGACGGUCUACCACUGGAAGCAUUGACGCCCUACACUUCAGUGAAGCCCAAUUUACAAAGGAGGUUAAGCUUUGGUUGACAUUUGAGAAAGCAAGAAAUGGUUGUUAUACUAAGCUUACAAAAAUGUACCUCUUCAAUUUACCUCUCCAAAUGACUUUAGGACCAUCGACUGUCCGAGCCCCCCAGGAGGUAUCCCAUCUACCAGAACCAGUGAGUUCGGAUCAGUCUGAUUCUCUGUGCUCUGAGUCGGAGGGGGACUAGCUUGAGGUAGGCUACACCUUCCAAAAGUUUUGAAAAGUAC
ensembl:lncRNA